GACGACCGCUGGCGGCGUGCCUAAUACAUGCAAGUCGAACGCAGUGGGGACGGGUGAGUAACACGUGGGUAACCUCCCAUCAGAGGGGAUAACACUUGGAAACAGGUGCUAAACCGAUCCUGAUGGAUGGACCCGCUGUGCAUUAGCUAGUUGGUGAGGUAACGGCUCACCAAGGCCACGAUGCAUAGCGGACCUGAGAGGGUGAUCAGCCACACGGGGACUGAGACACGGCCCAGACGCCUACGGGAGGAAGCAGUAGGGAAUCUUGGGCAAUGGAGGAAAGUCUGACCGAGCAACGCCGCGUGAGUGAAGAAGGUUUUCGGAUCGUAAAACUCUGUUGUUAGAGAAGCGGUAUCUAACCAGAAAGCAACGGCUAACUACGUGCCAGCAGCCGCGGUAAUAC
rnacentral:rRNA from 1 species